CCACCUCAGGCCUGCCUGGCCAGCUGCCUCUGUAGCCAAUUCCAGGAGACACCAUCUCCUCCAUUUGGCUACACUCUUCCCCUGCAUCUAGUUAGGCUUCUCUGAGCAGUGAGGGAGGGAGCCCUCACUGAGAGGGGCCCCUGGGGAGAAACCCGAGAAAGCCCUAAGUCACGUGUGGGGCCGUGAUACACCUGGGUGUCUGUGUCUGUGGGACACGGGGAGCCAGGCCCAACCCAAGGAAUGGCACCCAACUGAGGCGGCCUCGGAUGGGUUUUUGCCUAGUUCAGGGUGGACAGUGAGUGGGGGUCUGGCCCCAGCUACCCGGGCCUGGAGGCUCGGAAGAAAAUGCCGAGGCUGAUCCUUCAGUCAGUGGGACCCUUAGCAUUUGGGAGGCCUGGGGAGCUGCUGAUAUCAGGGAUCUGCCUGGGAUGGGGAAGCCCCAGGAAACAGUCUAGGCAGGCUCUCAAGGCUGGGACCCUCACAUCUGCCAGGCAUGCCGGGCUGUACCCUGAGGAUAAGCAGAAAAGGUAUCAAGGAAGCAUCACCCAGUCACCCUUCUGAGGACAGCCUCACUGCCACUGGAACAGGGAGCAACAGGGCAGCACCAUCGUCAGCACUUCCCCUAUGAAAGGCCGUCAAGGUACCAUGAGACCAAAGAAGGAAUCCUGAGACUUGCACCAGCAGCCCAUUCACUGCAGCCCAGCAGCACAGACCGGCCUUGUGGUGCGAUGGGGGAUCCGGAGAGCGGGAACAAAGGCCUUGACCUCUAAGCACCAGAGACCCCCGGGGGCAUGCAGCAGGAACUGGAGAGGCUGAGGAGGAGAGACGAAUGUGCCGGGAGUCGGGGUGCUCUGGGGCCUCGAGCCAUGUGCCCUCUCCGGACCCUUGCCCUGAGGACCCUGGAGCCCCAAAGCAGCCAAAGCCAGCACCUAGGAGGUCUAGAGCCAACGGGAUGCCCUGUAGGCUGACCAAAGUCCUCCAGCAGUGACAGGCGAGGCCUCCCACCUGCUCUCAGCUGCCGGGGGCUAGCAGACUGUGAGGGCUGCGGUGGGUCGGGCCAGAAUUCUAGUGGCUGUUCAUGGGCACAGGGACACGGCGGACAGAGCCCCGCCCUCAGGGACAAGAGAUGGACAUCCUCACCAUCGUCAGCACUUUAGGUGACAUGAGUGUUAAGAAGAAAAACAAAGCAAAGUGAGGACACAGGGCAUGAGCAGUGGAGGUGGGGGGUGUGGGCGUCAGGGAGGCAGCAUCUGAGCCAAAGACACCAGAACACAAGGGCCGAGCCACCAGGGGCUUGGGGACGGAGUGCUCCAGGCAGAGGGCACUGCAAAUGCAAAGACCUGGAGGCCAGACUGAGCCUUGUGGGCUUUUGCCGCUGCAGGAAGGCCAGGAGGGCUGGAGCAGGUGUGGGAGGGAACGGAUGGGGCCGGCUGAGGCUUGGUGGGCUGACAGGCCUUCAAGACCAAAGUUGGGGGCGCCGCCUGGGUGGCUCAGUGGGUUAAGCCGCUGCCUUCGGCUCGGGUCAUGAUCUCAGGGUCCUGGGAUCGAGUCCCAUAUCGGGCUCUCUGCUCAGCAGGGAGCCUGCUUCUCUCUCUCUCUCUCUCUCUCUCUCUGUCUGCCUCUCCAUCUGCUUGUGAUAUCUCUCUGUCAAAUAAAUAAAUAAAAUCUUUAAAAAAAAAAAAAAAA